AUAAUAUACUAGAUAUGUACAGAUAACAGGCACCUACAUGUGAUAGACAGACAUACCUACCUGGCUAUACUCUAAAUGGUGUUAUUAAACAGUGAUAAACAGAUAAUACAGUACACUGUAGUGCGCAAUCUGACAGUGGCAAAGCCCUUGAAAGCCUUGGAUGUUGGCCUAAGAUGCAAUCGCUUGGUUAACAGUAAACGGAUUAAUAUGAAGGUUGCAGAUUGUUGAUACUAGAAUAGCCUGCAAUGAAUCAGAGAAUAUUACUAUACUAUCGUACAUUGAACAUACAUAUAUAAGCGUUCAUUUGGCUGCUUGGUAAGUCUAAGGAACGACUCUGAACGCUGAUAUUCUGCGAGGAUAUACAUUGCACGAGUGCAUCAGGGGAUUAGAGGAUUAACUCGGGAUAAUCCAUGAUAUAGGGAUAAGGAAACGCCACAAGGUAUCAGCAAGACGAAUUUGAAACUGGAACCCUGACCAAUGAGUAGCUUAAGUGCAAUACCUGACUUAGACCACACGAUUUUAUGUCAGUUUUAGAGGUUUCAGCAACCAUUGGUAUCUUGGUGCAUAUAUGCGGUUUGGAAAGUGCAGUUCUCCAACUACUAGCCACGGCACAUGACUCAGUCACUCGUCAACCAACCGGUGCAAAAGCAGGCUAAUUAAUUUGGUUUUUAGUGAGACAGAAACAACAUUUUGCGGACUACUUCUUUAAGUACCUUGGUGACAUUUUCGGCGUAUUAAAAGCCCGACUGUGUGUUGGUUUAAUGGUUUAUGCGCUGAAUCAAAAUGGGAAAUAUAUUUUAAUAUAACCGACUAGCCAAUCACAUGUUUUGAAAAGUUUAACCACAAGUUUUAAGGUGAAACAUGUUUUAGAAUAAUAUAACAUAUAGUGGAAGUUGACUUACGUUAGAACUAAGAUAGACAGGGAACAGCAAACAGUGAACUUCGAUACUGUUACUUGGAAAGAUUACACUAAUAAACUGGGCACUUUAGUUAAAGACAUGGAAAGUACAAGAACAGCUGUUUAGGGAAAUCUUGAAACAAUAACCAACUUGUACAUAGGGGUUAAUGAUACACUCAUGUGCGAUAUUUUAAUUUUAUGAUCUGACAGUAACUAUAUCAAGAUGACUAGGAUAACCGAGGGAUUAUUACAGACAUUAGCAUGUGUGGCAGUAGCUGGACUACUGAUCGCCUUGCCCGGGGGUCAGGCUACCCCCCUAAGGAGAACCAAACAGGAAGAGACUAUAAAAGAAACAGAGAAGCACCGGACGAAACGAGAAGACGAUGGUGAUGCUGGUAGUCUUCAUGCAAGGGGAAUAAGUUUCCUUCAAAACUUCGGCUACUUCCCGAAGUCCGAUCUCGAGACGGGGGCCUUACGUUCGGAAGAAGAAUUCAAGAAGGCGGUCAGAGCAAUGCAGAAGAUCGCAAAUAUCCCCCAGACGGGAGAACUCGACGAAGCAACGGUGGAAAAGAUGAAUUCCCCCCGUUGCGGAUUACCUGAUACAAUUGAUGAAACAAACGAAGAUGGCUGGUCCAAGAAGCGCAGGAAGAAACGAUAUAAUCAUUCGAGUGAGAAGUGGCGUAAAAAUCAUUUGACGUACAGGUUUCUAAACUAUUCACCUAAAUUGUCCCGUUACACUAUAGAAGACGCUAUAGACAAAGCAUUCAGGGUAUGGAGUGGAGUCACUAACUUAGAUUUCUCUAAGAUUGACACAGCUGAUCAUGCUGAUAUCUACCUACUCUUUGGUAGGCACUUCCAUAAUGAUGGCUAUCCUUUUGAUGGACAAGGUAUGGUGCUGGCUCAUGCAUUUUUCCCGGGGACUGACGAUCGUGCUGGAGACACACAUUUUGACGCUGAUGAGCCAUGGACAGUUGGGUCAAAAAAUGGUAUCAAUUUAUUCUCAGUUGCUGCCCAUGAGUUUGGCCAUGCGCUGGGUCUGGCCCAUAGUGGAGUUGUGGGCUCACUCAUGUAUCCAUGGUACCAGGGCUUUGUUGAGAACUUCCAAUUGCACCCUGAUGAUAUCCAAGGCAUACAAACACUUUAUGGGGUAAGAUACAAUAACAAUCUUCCACCUAGGAGGCCAGAGAUCCCAGUCAUUCCAUCAACAACAGCAAUGGUCCCUCGAAGACCUCCUACUACGAGAACUACUACUACAACAACUACUACACGGCGACCUUACACUUACAGACCACGCCCACGUACACGGCGACCAUAUGUGCCCCGCACUACCCCUAAACCUGAUGGGAAGCCUGACAAUUGUAACGUUGUCAUAGAAGCUGCUGAUGUUGUACGUGGAGAACUGAUGUUAUUCAGUGGGAAGUGGUUCUGGAGAAGAAAUGAAGAGGGAAUUCUCAACGGUUAUCCCGUUCUUAUAAGUGAAUUCUGGGUAGGCUAUCCCCAGGACCAACAUGUGGAUGCCAUCUAUGAACGACGAGAUGGAAAAAUUGUAAUUUUCUAUGGUGCACAUUAUUGGUUGUUUGACGGAAACCAACUUGAGAGAAAUUUUGACCCGAAAGGCAACCCACUGACAGAUUAUGGCUUGCCAACUGGUCUCUCAAAAAUAGACGCUAUAUGGAGGUGGGGUCACAAUGAACGAAUCUAUAUGAUUAGUGGCAAUAUGUACUGGAAAUUGAGCCAUCGCAACAAAGUUGAACGAAAUUACCCAAGAGAUUUGAGUGUAUGGGGAGGUGUCCCUGUAUCACCUGAUGCUGCUUUCCAGUUUUGGGAUGGCCGGACAUAUUUCUUCAAGGGCAAACAGUACUGGGAAUUUAACGAUGGCGUCAUGAGGACGAGAAAGAGUUCACCCCGACCCCUAGCUGGCCUAUGGAUGGGGUGCUCUGAUCUCCCUACGACGGAGACUUCAAAUGAAAUUCCAAUAUUUCCCGCGGGUGAUGAGCAACCGCGAGUCCAUGGAUCUGGACAAACAGACAAUAAUUCAAACAGCGCAAAUGGCGUUCAAAAGUGUUGUGGAAUGAAGCAAUAUUACGUUUUACUGUUAUCAGCAUUUGUGUAUUUAUUUACGCGAAACAACCAGAAUUUUUCAUAGCGAACAUGUACGAAAGUAUCAUUCAUUUUAAAUGAAAAUUAAGGUUAGUAAAUUGGCACUAUGAAAAAGUGUUUAUAUUGUAGUACAGGUGUUCAUAUUUAAGGGGUGUUCUUAUUUCAACAGAGACAGAGAGGUGUUCACAUUUCACAUUUCAACAGAGAAGAUGAUAAUUUUAACAGAUUUCAAAUUUCAAAAACACUUCUCAAUGUAAACACCUCACAAUGUGAACACCCCUCUAUGUAAACACAUCUCCAUGUAAACACCUCUUUAUAUGAACACUUAUCAAUAUAAACACCUCACAAUGUGAAAAUGUAGCUAUUCUUGGCAAAUUCACUUUAUGCAGAUUUUACCAGUAUAGUGUAUGCAGCAUUUAAGAUUUUGUUAUAAAUCCCAGUUCACCAAUUUGGUGAAAAUGUCAUUUCACAAUUCAGUUUUAGAGGUUGUCUCACAUGUUUUACACCUACUUCAACAAAAAAUCCAUUUCUGCUGACCGUCCACCCUUUUUAACAAGACUUUUGAAGUGCAAUUUUUAAAAAUGAUCUAGCAAUUUUUCGUGCACAAAACAGUCUUUCACUACCCAACUCCAAAUGAAUGCAAUUUUGUGUAGAAUUAAGUGUGUAACAUAUGAGACAAGGCCCAAGGAAGUACCUCUGCUCAUCUCUAAAGCAUGCCAAAUGUACAGUGGAUACCAGGCCCAUGCCUACAUUGAGGCUGCUAAGGCAUUUGCCUCAUUCAGGAUUCUUGCCUCAAGAGUUUUAAUUUUUCAGCCAACAAUAUGAUCAUGUGAAAUUAUUUUUGCAUCGGUAAAAUUUUGCCCCAAAAUAUGGGCCUUGAUACAGUAUAAGAUUAACUUGCCUUUUAAGUCUUCCUUUUUCAUUUCUCUCUUUGCAUUCUCAUUUCAAAAGUUUCUACUGAUAUUUUGCUUAUAUGCCCAUGGGGGUUUAUUUGGAAGAAAGGUACAUACAGGUGUAUUUUUGAAGAGCUUUCAAAUAAAUGCCCAACAAGGGAAGCAUUUGAGCAAAAACUUCCAACAGUUCUGUACCAUGGAGGCCAUUUUAAAAUGCUAUCAGAAAUAC
rnacentral:misc_RNA from 1 species